GCCUAUACAUGCAGUCGAGCGACGGACGAGAAGCUUGCUUCUCUGAUGUUAGCGGCGGACGGGUGAGUAACACGUGGAUAACCUACCUAUAAGACUGGGAUAACUUCGGGAAACCGGAGCUAAUACCGGAUAAUAUUUUGAACCGCAUGGUUCAAAAGUGAAAGACGGUCUUGCUGUCACUUAUAGAUGGAUCCGCGCUGCAUUAGCUAGUUGGUAAGGUAACGGCUUACCAAGGCAACGAUGCAUAGCCGACCUGAGAGGGUGAUCGGCCACACUGGAACUGAGACACGGUCCAGACUCCUACGGGAGGCAGCAGUAGGGAAUCUUCCGCAAUGGGCGAAAGCCUGACGGAGCAACGCCGCGUGAGUGAUGAAGGUCUUCGGAUCGUAAAACUCUGUUAUUAGGGAAGAACAUAUGUGUAAGUAACUGUGCACAUCUUGACGGUACCUAAUCAGAAAGCCACGGCUAACUACGUGCCAGCAGCCGCGGUAAUACGUAGGUGGCAAGCGUUAUCCGGAAUUAUUGGGCGUAAAGCGCGCGUAGGCGGUUUUUUAAGUCUGAUGUGAAAGCCCACGGCUCAACCGUGGAGGGUCAUUGGAAACUGGAAAACUUGAGUGCAGAAGAGGAAAGUGGAAUUCCAUGUGUAGCGGUGAAAUGCGCAGAGAUAUGGAGGAACACCAGUGGCGAAGGCGACUUUCUGGUCUGUAACUGACGCUGAUGUGCGAAAGCGUGGGGAUCAAACAGGAUUAGAUACCCUGGUAGUCCACGCCGUAAACGAUGAGUGCUAAGUGUUAGGGGGUUUCCGCCCCUUAGUGCUGCAGCUAACGCAUUAAGCACUCCGCCUGGGGAGUACGACCGCAAGGUUGAAACUCAAAGGAAUUGACGGGGACCCGCACAAGCGGUGGAGCAUGUGGUUUAAUUCGAAGCAACGCGAAGAACCUUACCAAAUCUUGACAUCCUUUGACAACUCUAGAGAUAGAGCCUUCCCCUUCGGGGGACAAAGUGACAGGUGGUGCAUGGUUGUCGUCAGCUCGUGUCGUGAGAUGUUGGGUUAAGUCCCGCAACGAGCGCAACCCUUAAGCUUAGUUGCCAUCAUUAAGUUGGGCACUCUAAGUUGACUGCCGGUGACAAACCGGAGGAAGGUGGGGAUGACGUCAAAUCAUCAUGCCCCUUAUGAUUUGGGCUACACACGUGCUACAAUGGACAAUACAAAGGGCAGCGAAACCGCGAGGUCAAGCAAAUCCCAUAAAGUUGUUCUCAGUUCGGAUUGUAGUCUGCAACUCGACUACAUGAAGCUGGAAUCGCUAGUAAUCGUAGAUCAGCAUGCUACGGUGAAUACGUUCCCGGGUCUUGUACACACCGCCCGUCACACCACGAGAGUUUGUAACACCCGAAGCCGGUGGAGUAACCUUUUAGGAGCUAGCCGUCGAAGGUGGAAA
rnacentral:rRNA from 1 species